CAUUUUCCCGUUUGCUCCCAGUGACCGACCUUCUCCAAGAGUCCUCUGCAGCAAGUCAUGCUUAGCCUGAAGCUUUGUGAUGAGAUUACUGCCUUCCAAGAACUCUCGGAGUUUCUGCAAAAGGAUAGGCUGGUCUUGCAUUCACAGUCAAUCUCCUGCCUCAGCCUCCCAAGCGCUGGAUCACAGGUGUGCUGUCAUCACGCCCAACACAACUUCCAGUUUUUAAUGAGAGCAACUGAGUCUUUAAAAUGAAGUGGUGUAGAGCAAAGACAAUUUGUCCCUGGGCCAUAAAGGGUCCCCACAGGUUUUGGUUUGGAUAUCUGCUUGCCGGUUUUACAUCCCUUCUCUUAGAGGAAGACAGGGGCGAAUUCCUUAUUUAGGGUAAAGACGGGAGCCACAAGGGAUCUCCAAAUCAGCGAGGUUGUUCCCACAAAAACCACUUCCUCUCUUUGCCUCUCCCGGAAAUCAAGGCUGACCAGGAUGGAAUCAUCUCCACCCCUCACAUCAGGAAAAACACCUGGAAUGUCACACCUGCUCCACAACAUUCAGGGAAUGAAUGGGGCAAAGAACACAACUCCUUGAUGUGUUUUCUAUGAUAUCAGCUCCAUCACCAACUUACCCUGAGGGAGAACCAAACUGCUUUAUAAUGUCAGGCCUCUGUAUCUACUGAAGAAAUCCUCUCCUCCCUCGUACCACUGGAAAUCGAAACCAAGAACUCAGUCCAGUCAUUCCUUAUGGGGACGCCCACUUCCUCACAGUGCCCAGCAAACCAGAGACUGCUGUGCUGGCCACCUCGCUUUCCAGUUCUUUGACUCUAGAGUAAGCCUUUAAAGGGUGGCAGUGAAAAGAAGCUACCUGCCUUUUCUAGCACGUGAGGCUGCGUGUGUCUUCCCCACGCCUAAUGUGGUCACAAACUCUAACUAUAUAGCAGCCAGACGCAGAACUGGAGGUUGAAUGAGAGGGCAAGUGGAGAUGAGGUGCCUCACUCUCUUUUGGCCAGAUUUUCUGAUUUUUUUUUUCUUUUCUGAGACAGGGCUUCUCUCUGUAACCUUGGCUAUCCUGGAACUUGCUCUACAGACCAGGCUGGCCUUGAACUCAGAGAUCCACCUGUCUCUGCCUCUGGAGAGUUGGGAUUAAAGGCAUGCACCACCACUGCCUGGCUGAUUUUUUUUAAUAUUUAUUUAUUAUGUAUACAAUAUUCUGUCUGUGUGUAUGCCUGCAGGCCAGCAGAGGGUACCAGACCUCAUUACAGAUGGUUGUGAGCCACCAGGUGGUUGCUGGGAAUUGAACUCAGAACCUUUGGAAGAACAGGCAAUGCUCUUAACCUCUGAGCCAUCUCUCCAGCCCUGAUUUUUUUUUUAAACAACUGAAAACUUCAAAGCCAAAUAUAACAAGCCUGUGGCCUGCCAGCUUCGACCCUGUGUAUAAUACAGAAUUUUCCUGGGGUUUAGGAAGUAUUUUCCAAGUAAAAGAGCAGGAAGAUAUGAAAACAAAACAAAACACAGAACAGGACAAAAUAAAACAAAUCACUGAAAGUU